UACGUAGGUGGCGAGCGUUGUCCGGAAUUACUGGGUGUAAAGGGCGUGCAGGCGGGGAUGUAAGUCAGAUGUGAAAUACCGCAGCUUAACUGCGGGGCUGCAUCUGAAACUAUAUUUCUUGAGUGCUGGAGAGGAAAGCGGAAUUCCCAGUGUAGCGGUGAAAUGCGUAGAGAUUGGGAGGAACACCAGUGGCGAAGGCGGCUUUCUGGACAGUAACUGACGCUGAGGCGCGAAAGCGUGGGGAGCAAACAGGAUUAGAUACC
rnacentral:rRNA from 1 species